rnacentral:rRNA from 1 species
GACGAACGCUGGCGGCAUGCCUAACACAUGCAAGUCGAACGGAUACAACACUUCGGUGGUGUAUUAGUGGCGAACGGGUGAGUAACACGUGAAUAACCUGCCUCUUGCUUUGGGAUAACGCCUGGAAACGGGUGCUAAUACCGAAUAAGACCACGCCGAGGCAUCUCGGCGGGGUAAAAGUGAAAGAGCGGUAAGAGAUGGAUUCGCGUCCGAUUAGUUAGUUGGUGAGGUAACGGCUCACCAAGACAGCGAUCGGUAGCCGACUUGAGAGAGUGAUCGGCCACACUGGAACUGAGACACGGUCCAGACUCCUACGGGAGGCAGCAGUGGGGAAUAUUGGGCAAUGGGCGAAAGCCUUACCCAGCAAUGCCGCGUGAGUGAAGAAGGUCUUCGGAUUGUAAAGCUCUUUGAUUGGGGACGAAAGAAUGACGGUACCCAAGGAACAAGCCCCGGCUAACUAUGUGCCAGCAGCCGCGGUAAUACAUAGGGGGCAAGCGUUGUCCGGAAUGACUGGGCGUAAAGGGUGUGUAGGCGGUUCGUCAAGUCGGAAGUGUAAUACCUAGAGCUUAACUCAGGUGCUGCUUCCGAAACUAACGGACUUGAGUGUCGGAGAGGAAAAUGGAAUUCCUAGUGUAGCGGUAGAAUGCGUAGAUAUUAGGAGGAACACCAGAGGCGAAAGCGAUUUUCUGGACGACAACUGACGCUGAGGCACGAAAGCGUGGGGAGCAAACAGGAUUAGAUACCCUGGUAGUCCACGCCGUAAACUAUGGAUACUAGGUGUAGGGGGUAUCGACUCCCUCUGUACCGAAGCUAACGCAUUAAGUAUCCCGCCUGGGGAGUACGGCCGCAAGGUUG